rfam:Nippostrongylus brasiliensis genome assembly, scaffold: NBR_scaffold0009315
GAAUCGGUGGUUCAGUGGCAGAAUGCUCGCCUGCCACGGCAGCGGCUCGGGUUCGAUUCCCGGCGGAUGCA